GAUGAACGCUGGCGGCGUGCCUAAUGCAUGCAAGUCGAGCGAACAGAUGAGGAGCUUGCUCCUCUGACGUUAGCGGCGGACGGGUGAGUAACACGUGGAUAACCUACCUAUAAGACUGGGAUAACUUCGGGAAACCGGAGCUAAUACCGGAUAAUAUAUUGAACCGCAUGGUUCAAUAGUGAAAGACGGUCUUGCUGUCACUUAUAGAUGGAUCCGCGCCGCAUUAGCUAGUUGGUAAGGUAACGGCUUACCAAGGCAACGAUGCGUAGCCGACCUGAGAGGGUGAUCGGCCACACUGGAACUGAGACACGGUCCAGACUCCUACGGGAGGCAGCAGUAGGGAAUCUUCCGCAAUGGGCGAAAGCCUGACGGAGCAACGCCGCGUGAGUGAUGAAGGUCUUCGGAUCGUAAAACUCUGUUAUUAGGGAAGAACAAAUGUGUAAGUAACUAUGCACGUCUUGACGGUACCUAAUCAGAAAGCCACGGCUAACUACGUG
rnacentral:rRNA from 1 species